GGUUUUGUUCUUUGAUUUUUCUCGAUGACGGAUUUACGAUGGUUUGCUGAUCCCUCUCUUUCUCUCUGGUGUUUCAUAUAUCUUUGGUUCUAGAGAGUCAAUCCGAAGGAGGAGUUUUUGCUUGUGUGGCGUUACGAAGAAAAUCUCAAAUCGCGACAGACAGGUUGAGAAGGCGUUGAGCUUGAAGACUACACAGCUUGCCAAAGGUGCCGAGCGAGAAUUCCAGAUGGAGCUAUUAAAAUGUUUGAGGGGGCCUGGGAUUCAUCUUUCUGACGAGUCGAAGUCCUUCAAGAUUAUUGAUCUCGGUCGGUGAGGACUUGCUACUUGGCAUCGACUACAUUCCGCAAGAGUUCCUACUGGAUCCAAGGUACGCUGCACCAGAGCUGUACGUUAUGAGCACUCAGACUCCCUCCGCUCCAUCGCCUGUCAUUGCAACAGCACUCUCUCCAGUUCUAUGGCAGCUAAACCUGCAAGACCGCUACAGCCUCGGAUUGAUGUUCUUGCAAAUGGUAAGUCCAGCUGAUACAUCUAUCAAUGGCAGGUGUUUUCGAAACUGAGAAGCGAUAGUGCUCUCAUCCAGUUCAAUGAAGCGCAUGAAUCACGACUUAGUUGCGUGGAGAAACUUGGUGGACGCUCGGCGAAAUCCGGGCGUUCAACGUGGCUUCGAGAUUCUGGACGGAGGAGCUGGCUGGGAGCUGCUCCAAGCGAUGAUGCAGUUUAAAGGUCGCCAACGUAUCAGUGCCUGGCCUGUCCCACAAUGUCCUCGGGCACCAGCGACCACAGCUACCAUCGGGUUGUCCCUGUCGAGACGGAAGUAGCGUACUCCUAGUUACUUAGACAAGGAUUCAAUUCAAUGUGCAUUCUUUCCUUUCUUUUCUGA